rnacentral:lncRNA from 1 species
UGUGUUCAUUGUUUUUUUUUCUCUUUUUUCUUUUUAGAAUUACUUAUAUUUGAUUGAUGAUGAUAAAGUACAUUGUGUUUAUGUUUAAUCAAAUUAUUUUAUUUGUACUUAUGUCUUAUUCAUAUUUGUGUCUUAUUCUUGAUUGUGUCUUAUACAUAUUUACGUAUAUCUUUCUGCUAUGUUUGUGUCUUAUUCUUGAUU